AGCUCAGUGAUUGUAGUCACUUUUGUUGGUAAUAUAUACGCUAUGCUGACCAUAGUUUGAUGAUGAAUGAGAAUAUGAGAGCU
rnacentral:snoRNA from 1 species